rnacentral:tRNA from 1 species
GCAGUGAGGGUUCGGUGGUAGAAUUUUCACCUUCCAUGUGGGAGACCUGGGUUCGAUUCCCAGCCAAUGCA